UAUAAAGAUGAUGAAUUCAGUGACCUGGGUUUUAAUCAGCACCAAACAAUUCAGCUAAAGAAAAGUGAGCAAUUAACUGAGGAAAGGGAGAGAGAGAUUAAACAGGUUGUGGCAUCAGUAAAUGAGCUUGCUCAAAUCAUGAAGGACCUGAGCUACAAAUUUAUAGUGUCAUGCAGGUAGGUUUUUUGAGUUACAGCAACAGGUACUAAUGAAACUUAAUUCUCUCAAGCAGGGUACAAUUGUUGAUCGGAUA
rnacentral:misc_RNA from 1 species